rnacentral:rRNA from 1 species
UACAGAGGGUGCGAGCGUUAAUCGGAAUUACUGGGCGUAAAGCGUGCGUAGACGGUCAUGUAAGUCGGAUGUGAAAGCCCCGGGCUCAACCUGGGAAUUGCAUUCGAGACUGCAUGGCUUGGGUGCGGAAGAGGGAAGCGGAAUUUCCGGUGUAGCGGUGAAAUGCGUAGAUAUCGGAAGGAACACCAGUGGCGAAAGCGGCUUCCUGGUCCGACACCGACGUUCAGGCACGAAAGCGUGGGGAGCGAACAGG